GUAGAGGGAUCUGGAGAAAAUUGAAACAUGUGAAGUGUUUUCAAUUAAAGGCCCGUUUGUUUUGGUGUAAGUGAAAUGAUGAAACUCAAGUUCCAUCAUUUUCGUUAUUUAUUUUGAUGUAAGUGAAAAAUAUAAUGUAACUCAAGUUACGUUAGAGCUCCACUUCACCUACUCUCGACUUCCUCCUUUAAAGUGCCGAACUCGACUUUCACUACACUCAACCUCCUCUAAAAAAUUUAUUAAACAGUAAAACCUAAACUCUACUUCCUUUAUAAUGAGUUAGAAUUACCUUAUUUAUAAUAAAUUAGGAUUAUCUUUAAAUAAUAAUAAAAAAAAUAAUUAUAUAAUAGAUUAAAUUUUAUAGUGGUAAAUUUACUACUAUAUUUAGGAGAUAAUGAGAUCUAUUUACUUACAUCAAAACAAAUAACGGAACUCAAAAAACUAAUUUUACCAGCACCAAGUUACAUCAAAACAAAUAACAGAAGUGAUUGAAUUUAACUUUCAGGCGGUACGAGUUACGUCAAAACAAACAAUAAAAAAGUAAUCACACUUCAGGAAAAUUCAAACACCACUACACUUGACUUACGUUGAAUCUACAAAUACGUCAAUCCAAACGAAGCAUCAAUCAAUAACUGCUGUAACAGCUGAUUUGACACUCUAUAAGAAAAAUAUAUAUUAAUUAAUUUAAAAAGAGCACUCCUGGUGAUACACUUAAAAAAAAAAAAAAUGUAAAUUUUGUGCCCUAUCAUCCAAGUAUCACUAAUGGGUCUUUGCCUUAGCUAUUAUUUUGCAAAUUUUAUUUAAGAAUUGUAAAAAAAAAAAUAAUUGAUUGAAAUAGAAUUUAUAAAUUUUAUUUAAAAAAAUUAUAAAAUGAAUUGAUUGAAAUAGAAAUUAAGGUUUAGCGAUUCACAGUUAACUAAGCCAUAAUAAAUUUUAAAGCACUGCUAGUAGCACAGUCGAAAAAGAAUGUAAAUUUUACACCCCCUCUUGUUUCAUCCAAUUGUAUGUUUCGUCCACUAACUAUGAAGUGAGAUUUUGGUUCUUAAACUUAAGUUUGUUGUAAUUUCUGUUUCUACUUUUUAGAAUUGUUGCAAUCAAAUUUCAUAACCCAUGCAAUUUAGUUGAAUAAAUGUUGACACAUUACUCAUAUAAAAGUAAUGUACCAUCUUAAUUACUGAUGCAUCAUCAAUUACAACACUAGUACAUUACUCCUACAUUAAUGAUUUAUUAAUAUUUAAUUAGUAAAUUGGCUUAUAGGACUAUACUUUUGAAAGUUUGAGCUAGAAAUUAUAAUAAAUUAAAAUUUGAGAAUCAAAAUGUCACUCGCUUAAGGAACAAGCGUGCAAUUUAUCCAUUACAACACUAUAAAAAAGCGGUCCAAAUUAAAACUUAGAGAAAUAUUA
rnacentral:lncRNA from 1 species